rnacentral:rRNA from 1 species
CGGAGGAUCCAAGCGGUUAUCCGGAAUCGAGUUGGGUUUAAAGGGUCCGUAGGCGGUUUAGUAAGUCAGUGGUGAAAGCCCAUCGCUCAACGGUGGAACGGCCAUUGAUACUGCUAGACUUGAAUUAUUAGGAAGUAACUAGAAUAUGUAGUGUAGCGGUGAAAUGCUUAGAGAUUACAUGGAAUACCAAUUGCGAAGGCAGGUUACUACUAAUGGAUUGACGCUGAUGGACGAAAGCGUGGGUAGCGAACAGGAUUAGAUACCCUGGUAGUCCACGCCGUAAACGAUGGAUACUAGCUGUUGGGAGCGAUCUCAGUGGCUAAGCGAAAGUGAUAAGUAUCCCACCGUGGGGAGUACGUUCGCAAGAAUG